rnacentral:lncRNA from 1 species
GCCUACGCCGCCGUUCCCAUGGCGACCGAUGCGUCCCGCGCUCUAGGCGAAGACCGCGGCCCCGUCCCCGCGCCUCCACCGCCUUCUUCCAGGAGGAGGGGCCGUGCGGCGCCUGCCCGGGGGCCCUCAGGCCGCAGGCGGGCGCGAGCUUCAGGGAACUUAGGGGGCUCCCGCCUCCCCGGCCACGCGAGCGGGAACAGUCUCCUCCACUCGGAGCGGCGCCAUCUUCAGCUCUGAGUCACCAGGGCUGGAAAAAUACUAGAUGCGCUACUCGUGGACUCGUGAAUACACUCGUGAAUACAGGCCAUUUCCUGUACCUACAGCCACCCGCUAUUAUAGAUCCAGACUCCUGUGCCUGACCACUGCCCAUGGCCAACUCUCUGCUGAUGACUGGACUUGACUACACAAGUUGUUGGCCAUCUUAAAACCACUCAAAGUUGACGGUCUCCUCUCCUGCCUCCUGCGGCUUCCAUUACCAUGGCAGAGACUGUGGUGUCUGAGGUGGUGUAGCGUACUGAAGCAAGGCUGUCUUGAAGAAGAGGAGACAACUCACAAUUCUACCACCUUUGUUGACCUCUUCUUCCCCCCAACUUAUUGCUGUAGAGGCUACCUGAGCUCAUUGUCCCUGGAGAUGGACCAAAUAGAAGAAUAAGCAGUGCCUGUGUGGUGAGCUUCAAGAGGCAUCUGUUCUCUGGGGAGUGGGUGGGUGGUAAAGCAAAGACGGGAGAUGUGUAUAUUAGCUAUCCAUUACUGUAUAAUUAAUUAUACACAAAACUAAACUAUACACUAAACUAAAACUUCACAGCUUAAAACAGGAAAUAUGUAUUAUCUCACACAAUUUCUGAGAGUCAGGAAUCUGAAAAUGGCUUAGCUAGUUUGGUUCUGGCUCAGGGUGACCUAUGGAGUUGCAGCCAAGAUGUCAUCUGGGACUACUAUCAUUGGAAGGCUCAGCUGGGGCUGGAGGCUACACUUCCAAGAUGGCUCACUUAUAGGGCUAUUGGUGGGAGGCUUCAGUUCCUCUCCACAUGAAACUUUCCUCAUGCCAUGGAACUGGCUUCCCUCAGAGUGAAAGACCCAAGAGAGAGACUAAGACAGAAGCUGCAAUGUUUUUAUGACCUAGUCUUGGAAGUGACUUACUGUCAUUUCUACUGUAUUUUAUUCAUUAGAAGCAAGUCAUUAAGUCCAGCCCACAUUCAAAGUAAGAGGAUUUAAGCUGAACCUCUUGAAAAAAUGGUAUCAAAGUAUUUACGGACAUUUUAAAAACUACCACAAUACAUAUAGGUGAACUUCACAAGGUGUAGACAUGGGCUGAGACAGAAUAUUGGAUAAUAUCUCAUUCUGCAAACAGCAGCCUCAUCUGUAAUAAAAUCCCAGCAUUCAGAAAUUAUCACGAUCAAGUAGGAAAAGGGCUUGUUGGAAAAAACUUAUCAAAGAUGUUACUUCAUUUAUCCAUUUAUUCUGAGCCAUAGCAUAAUAGCGACAAAUUGUGUGUCCUGUGUAAUUUGGAUACCUCUGCUCAAUAAUAGCUGAACAGAUUUUAUCCUAUUUUUAGAAUAGUUAAUAUAUACACAUGGCACAAAAUUUAAAAGGUAUAAAAGUUUCUGGUUCAAAAAUAAGAUUCCCUCAUUUUCUUUUUUUCUGAUUCUUUGAAUGCAAUUCGAUUUACUGAUUUCUCAUGUAGCCUUAGAAAGUAUUCUAUGUACUUACAAACAUAUAUGUACACAUAUUUUUUCUUUCCCACAAAUAAAAUACUGUAUGCAUU